rnacentral:rRNA from 1 species
CUACGGGUUGCUGCAGUGGGGAAUAUUGGACAAUGGGGGAAACCCUGAUCCAGCAAUGCCGCGUGUGUGAAGAAGGCCUGCGGGUUGUAAAGCACUUUCGGUUGGGAGGACUGCUUCUAGCACUAAUAUUGUUGGAAGUUGACGUUACCUUCAGAAGAAGCACCGGCUAACUCCGUGCCAGCAGCCACGGUAAUACGGAGGGUGCAUGCGUUAAUCGGAAUUACUGGGCGUAAAGCGCGCGUAGGCGGCUAGAUCAGUCGGGUGUGAAAGCCCCGGGCUUAACCUGGGAACUGCAUCCGAUACUGUCUAGCUUGAGUACAGGAGAGGAGAGUGGAAUUCCACAUGUAGCGGUGAAAUGCGUAGAUAUGUGGAGGAACACCAAUGGCGAAGGCAGCUCUCUGGCCUGAUACUGACGCUGAGGUGCGAAAGCGUGGGGAGCAAACAGGAUUAGAUACCCUUGUAGUC